rnacentral:rRNA from 1 species
GAUGAACGCUGGCGGCGUGCCUAAUACAUGCAAGUCGAGCGAACAGAUGAGGAGCUUGCUCCUCUGACGUUAGCGGCGGACGGGUGAGUAACACGUGGAUAACCUACCUAUAAGACUGGGAUAACUUCGGGAAACCGGAGCUAAUACCGGAUAAUACAUUGAACCGCAUGGUUCAAUAGUGAAAGACGGUUUUGCUGUCACUUAUAGAUGGAUCCGCGCCGCAUUAGCUAGUUGGUAAGGUAACGGCUUACCAAGGCAACGAUGCGUAGCCGACCUGAGAGGGUGAUCGGCCACACUGGAACUGAGACACGGUCCAGACUCCUACGGGAGGCAGCAGUAGGGAAUCUUCCGAAAUGGGCGAAAGCCUGACGGAGCAACGCCGCGUGAGUGAUGAAGGUCUUCGGAUCGUAAAACUCUGUUAUUAGGGAAGAACAAAUGUGUAAGUAACUAUGCACGUCUUGACGGUACCUAAUCAGAAAGCCACGGCUAACUACGUG